rnacentral:rRNA from 1 species
UCYCCUACGGGYGGCWGCCAGUAGGGCAAUCUUCCGCAAUGGACGAAAGUCUGACGGAGCAACGCCGCGUGAGUGAUGAAGGCUUUCGGGUCGUAAAACUCUGUUGUUAGGGAAGAACAAGUGCUAGUUGAAUAAGCUGGCACCUUGACGGUACCUAACCAGAAAGCCACGGCUAACUACGUGCCAGCAGCCGCGGUAAUACGUAGGUGGCAAGCGUUAUCCGGAAUUAUUGGGCGUAAAGCGCGCGCAGGUGGUUUCUUAAGUCUGAUGUGAAAGCCCACGGCUCAACCGUGGAGGGUCAUUGGAAACUGGGAGACUUGAGUGCAGAAGAGGAAAGUGGAAUUCCAUGUGUAGCGGUGAAAUGCGUAGAGAUAUGGAGGAACACCAGUGGCGAAGGCGACUUUCUGGUCUGUAACUGACACUGAGGCGCGAAAGCGUGGGGAGCAAACAGGAUUAGAUACCCUAWGUAGUCAGCG